GAUGAACGCUGGCGGCGUGCCUAAUACAUGCAAGUCGAGCGAACAGACGAGGAGCUUGCUCCUCUGACGUUAGCGGCGGACGGGUGAGUAACACGUGGAUAACCUACCUAUAAGACUGGGAUAACUUCGGGAAACCGGAGCUAAUACCGGAUAAUAUAUUGAACCGCAUGGUUCAAUAGUGAAAGACGGUUUUGCUGUCACUUAUAGAUGGAUCCGCGCCGCAUUAGCUAGUUGGUAAGGUAACGGCUUACCAAGGCAACGAUGCGUAGCCGACCUGAGAGGGUGAGCGGCCACAGGAGAACGGAGACCGGACCCAGCCCCCGCGGGGGGGAGGCAGGGGGUAAUCUGCCGAAAUGGGCAAAAGUUUGAGGGAGCAACGCGGGGUGAGGAAGAAAGGUCUUGGAAUCAAAAAACUUGUUUAUGGGGAAAAAAAAAGUGUGAAAGAAAAUAUGCCCUUCUGGAGGGUACCAAAUCAGAAGCCCAGGCCAAACCAGGUG
rnacentral:rRNA from 1 species